rnacentral:rRNA from 1 species
GCCCAGACUCCUACGGGAGGCAGCAGUGGGGAAUAUUGCACAAUGGGGGAAACCCUGAUGCAGCGACGCCGCGUGAGCGAUGAAGUAUUUCGGUAUGUAAAGCUCUAUCAGCAGGGAAGAAGAUGACGGUACCUGACUAAGAAGCCCCGGCUAACUACGUGCCAGCAGCCGCGGUAAUACGUAGGGGGCAAGCGUUAUCCGGAUUUACUGGGUGUAAAGGGAGCGUAGACGGCGAUGCAAGCCAGAUGUGAAAGCCCGGGGCUCAACCCCGGGACUGCAUUUGGAACUGUGUGGCUGGAGUGUCGGAGAGGCAGGCGGAAUUCCUAGUGUAGCGGUGAAAUGCGUAGAUAUUAGGAGGAACACCAGUGGCGAAGGCGGCCUGCUGGACGAUGACUGACGUUGAGGCUCGAAAGCGUGGGGAGCAAACAGGAUUAGAUACCCGAGUAA